rnacentral:rRNA from 1 species
UACAGAGGUCUCAAGCGUUGUUCGGAUUCAUUGGGCGUAAAGGGUGCGUAGGUGGCGCGAUAAGUCGGGUGUGAAAUCUCGGAGCUUAACUCCGAAAUUGCAUUCGAUACUGCCGUGCUCGAGGACUGGAGAGGAGACUGGAAUUCAUGGUGUAGCAGUGAAAUGCGUAGAGAUCAUGAGGAAGACCAGUGGCGAAGGCGGGUCUCUGGACAGUUCCUGACACUGAGGCACGAAGGCCAGGGGGAGCAAACGGGG